AGCAUUGUAGGUUAAUAUCGAAUAUAUGGUCAGCAAACAGUUGGUCAAGUUGAGAAAUUGCAAGUACCUAGGCUAAUUGACAAAGAAUAUUACUAAUAAAGUCUGCAGUUAAGCUUCAAGCACAUCAUCCAAAUUUUUUUAGUUGUAUAUAGAUAAUAUUAUAAAAUAAAAUUGAGUCUCAUAUUAUACGCCCAUUCAGCGACUAGUUUGGAAUCAACCAUCAGCCACGCCGCUUGAAAAACACGAUGAUGAGCUGGUAGCAACUGACAUGCAUUUUUACUGAAAAGGUGUAAUAUAAUUCCGAUUUGCUGCCUCAUUCCCACGAGAGGUUAAAAGAAGACAAUCUAUUUUUUGAGUUGUCGAUAGGUACAUAUCCCCCUCCCCCUUCAUUCUGAUUUUAUUGUUCCUACUCCAUUUGGCGCAAGAUACAUAACAACAUGAUUCAUGUUAUAACUAUCACUAUGUUCCACUUUUUGACUCUUCCUUUCUUGUAACGUGCUUCAUAAACAAUGCAGUUCGUUCCCAUGAAACACGUUAUCAGCAGGGUGCUCUAUAGAGAAGAAACUAUAUGCAGGUGAAAUCUGAUACCUCAACACCAAAAUACUUUGCAAGUCGCCUUCCCUUAAUUUCAGAUUUCCUACCUCUCGACCUAAUCGUGCUGCAUCGAAUACGCCAUAUG
rnacentral:lncRNA from 1 species